ensembl:misc_RNA 7SK 7SK RNA
CGGUGUGGGUGGAUGGGUGUCCCCUUCUUCCCUCACCACUCCACGUGUGUCCCUCCCGAAGCUUUGCGCUCAGUGGAAGAGGACGACCACCCCUGAGAGAGGAGGACCAUCCCCUCAGUCAAGGGUCUCCCCUGCUAGAACCUCCAAACAAACAUAACCAUAUACUGUAAUAAAACUUCCAUGAAUAUAGUCUCUUCCUGCAAACAUCUUAUUGUA